GUAUCUGUCUAAAUUUUUGCUGUGCUCUGGGACUUUACAUGAUUACCUGACCUCUCUGCUUUUCAGCUCUCUCCUAUUCACGGAUUUUAGUUCUGGUGUCUGUGCCUCUGAUCUGAACAUAGUCACUUUGAGGAAAAGAGACAAAGGGGUGGGAAUCUGAUGAGCUUUUAAGUUAGAUGUUCCGAGUCUGGGGUGAGGGGAGGGGCGGGUUGUUCUGUGAGACAAGCUGUAUGGCUGCCGUGGGACAAAGCCUUCACCAGGAGGAAUAGAGCGAGGAAGGAGAAGAUCACUAAGAGAAACACACUUUAGUGAGAUUAAGUCCUAUCCAGAAAUCAACCUACUAUGUUGCAUAUUGGAAAAGUCCUUCCAUCCAGCUGUUACUUAUGAAACAAGUGCUGUCUCCAAGCAACAGUCACCAAGAACUUGAGUCCCAAGGACAGCUACGUGAGUGGCCUUAGAAAUGGAAUUUCGCAUCCAGCUGAAAGCCACGUAUGUGGCGAAUCUGGAAAGCAGAUCCUUCAUCAGUUGAGCUUUGAUAUGACUGCAGCCCAUUGCUCUAUCUUGAACACAGCCUUUAUGCCCUGAGCGAAAGAGGCCUGGUUGAGGUAGACCAG
rnacentral:lncRNA from 1 species